rnacentral:rRNA from 1 species
GUCCACGCCGUAAACGAUGAGUGCUAGGUGCUGUGGGUAUUGACCCCCGCGGUGCAGCAGCUAACGCGUUAAGCACUCCGCCUGGGGAGUACGGCCGCAAGGCUAAAACUCAAAGGAAUUGACGGGGGCCCGCACAAGCGGUGGAGCAUGUGGUUCAAUUCGACGCAACGCGCAGAACCUUACCUGGGUUAAAUCCAUACUAAUCUGCCAGAGAUGGCGGGGUGCCCUUCGGGAAGGUAUGAGAAGGUGCUGCAUGGCUGUCGU